ACUGGCUCUGGCUGAGAACUGCACAUGACAGGCCUGGUGUGCCCUGCCUCCCCUCAGCUCAGCUCUGAGAUGGAAGUAGGAGCACCUUAAUUAACUGCCGAAGAUCAGGGCUGCUUAUCAAUUCCUGCCAAGCAGAAAGCAUCCUGCUCCUUGAGUCUGCAGCUCUCAGAAGCAUCUUCAGGCUCUCUGGGAAUUCAUCUUUGUAUGCCGGAGACCCAGCAAUAAUAAUGUUGAGUAAAAGUUUGUGGAAUAAAUGGAUGAAUGAA